rnacentral:ncRNA from 1 species
UGCAGUGAGACGCGACUUCGUUUGUAACUCUUAGAGCGAGAAAUCGCGACCUAAAGCAUAAGCCUAUCUGCAAGAUUGGCUUUUUAGGGCCGAUUCUACUACGCAACGGCCAUUUGGGU